UCUUAGGGAUGCUAGGGUUCCGGUUCGUCGAACGUCUGGUCCGAGAGCAGCCCGGCGUCGGUGCAUACGAUCGUUCGAUCGUGCGCGCAUGGCGCUACACGGCGGGACAAAAGCCCGGGAGAA
rnacentral:sRNA from 1 species